UCUAGGGCUUGGGCUGACGGUUCCCUCAUAGGCUGCGAUAAGGAUAAUGUCGUAGUCGUGUUCCUCAGUGUUGAUAUGUAGUGAAUUACGCCUUGUCCCUAGUGUUGACGUAUAUGUGGAAGGAAGGGUGUCUUACGAAGGGGGGCCAUCACAGGUUAUAGAGCAGUACGAGAGGGCAUCCUGGCUCGACAACACGUACAUAAGGACCGACUUGAGGACUUCUGUUAAAAGGCCUAGACUGUUCCCGCUAUGCGAUUGACCGCAUUCCAAGAAAAGUGAAGCGGGUACGACGCAGUGGUAUCAGUCACCUUGAAAUGCCACGAAUAAUCUAAUUGAAUGGGGUUGGGAGUCACGGGAGAGAGCGCCGUUUCCCAUCGUGCUGCUUCUCAGGCAGGUUCCUACCUCCUCCCACACUAGUUGGGGAAACAUACGUGGCUGGACAACAUCUGAUUCCGCCUGCUCAAUUUCCGUAGAUUUUUCGUCUUUUAUUGAGGCAAGGAUACGGCAACGUCUAAGUCUGACAGUUCCUAGAGUGCCAAGGAAUGAACUGGAAAUUAAUCGAUAUAUCAAAGUAAAGUACAGAAAAGGAGAGUCGAGAAAAUUAAAAGGGGAUUGACCAAGGAUAGGCUUACUAGUAAAUGCUGCAAAGUCUUUCCUUAAUUCGUAUCUGCUUUCUCCAUAUAUACAUAAUCAGUAGAAGGAAGGGGGAGAUGGUAGGGCUAGCCUUGGGAUUUAUUUAGGUUAGCUAAAGAGACUAUUCCUAAUUCAGUUUUCUUGUAUUUAUUAUUGUUAGAAUCGAAGAACCCAAUGUAAU